rnacentral:lncRNA from 1 species
UGGAAGGAUUUCAAAUUAGUCUACGAACAAAGAAUUUGGAAGGAUUUGUGAUCAACUAAGGAGCUCUCGACUUUCUUCGCUGGAAUUUACCUUCCUUGGGUACUUAUCAACCAGAGACUGGAAGUAGUUGUGCUCUUCGUCCACAGUAGUCAUCCAAAGAGCAAGGGAAAGACCACGACGCGCAGUGGAAUAGGAAAAAGAGCGUCGAGC